UACGUAUGGUGCAAGCGUUAUCCAGAUUUACUGGGUGUAAAGGGAGCGUAGGUGGUCUUGUAAGUCAGAAGUGAAAUGCCGGGGCUCAACCCCGGAGCUGCUUUUGAAACUGCAGGACUGGAGUGCAGGAGAGGUAAGUGGAAUUCCUAGUGUAGCGGUGAAAUGCGUAGAUAUUAGGAGGAACACCGGCGGCGAAGGCGGCUUACUGGACUGUAACUGACACUGAGGCUCGAAAGCGUGGGGAGCAAAC
rnacentral:rRNA from 1 species